rnacentral:misc_RNA from 1 species
GGUAGUAAAAGUCGUAACAAGGUUUCCGUAGGUGAACCUGCGGAAGGAUCAUUAACGAGUUAGGGUCUUCUAGGCCCGACCUCCCAACCCUUUGUUUACUGAACCAUUGUUGCCUCGGUGGGUCCGUCUUACGACCGCCGGGGGAUCGCCGCGAGGCGCCCCCUGGCCAGCGCCCACCGAUAGCCCAACCUUUAAAACCCUUUGUGAAUCGUGUCUUAUGUCUAAAUUUAUGAUUAAACAAUCAAAACAAAACUUUCAACAACGGAUCUCUUGGUUCUG